rnacentral:rRNA from 1 species
UACGUAGGGUGCGAGCGUUGUCCGGAAUUACUGGGCGUAAAGAGCUUGUAGGUGGUUUGUCGCGUCGUUCGUGAAAUCUCACGGCUUAACUGUGAGCGUGCGGGCGAUACGGGCAGACUAGAGUACUGCAGGGGAGACUGGAAUUCCUGGUGUAGCGGUGGAAUGCGCAGAGAUCAGGAAGAACACCCAUGGCGAAGGCAGCUCUCUGGGCCUGUACUGACGCUGAGACGCGAAAGCGUGGGGAGCGAACGGG